UGUAAGCGUAUACCAAAGUUGUUGCAGUUAAAACGCUCGUAGUCGGAAUUUGGCAGUUCCGGAUGUGUGCACGUCGUGUGCGCACUUCGCGGGGAUUGCUUUUGUGGUCUUGCGUAGGAUGAGGCACUUUUAUCAGUGAACGUCCUCACGCAACCACUUUUUACUGUGAGAAAAUCAGAGUGCUCAAAGCAGGCAUUUGCCGUGAAUGUAUUAGCAUGGAAUAAUAGAAUAGGACUUGGUUCUAUUUUGUUAGUUUGUUGGGACUGAGUAAUGAUUAAGAGGGACAGUUGGGGGCAUUUGUAUUUCGGUGCUAGAGGUGAAAUUCUUAGAUUACCGAAAGACAAACUGCUGCGAAAGCGUCUGCCAAGGAUGUUUUCAUUGA
rnacentral:rRNA from 1 species